CCUACGGGUGGCAGCAGUGAGGAAUAUUGGUCAAUGGGCGCGAGCCUGAACCAGCCAAGUAGCGUGAAGGAUGACUGCCCUACGGGUUGUAAACUUCUUUUAUAAAGGAAUAAAGUGAGGCACGUGUGCCUUUUUGUAUGUACUUUAUGAAUAAGGAUCGGCUAACUCCGUGCCAGCAGCCGCGGUAAUACGGAGGAUGCGAGCGUUAUCCGGAUUUAUUGGGUUUAAAGGGUGCGCAGGCGGGAGAUCAAGUCAGCGGUAAAAUGUCGGGGCUCAACCCCGGCCGGCCGUUGAAACUGGUUUUCUAGAGUUGGAGAGAAGUAUGCGGAAUUCGUGGUGUAGCGGUGAAAUGCAUAGAUAUCACGAAGAACUCCGAUUGCGAAGGCAGCAUACCGGCUCCAUACUGACGCUGAGGCACGAAAGCGUGGGGAUCGAACAGGAUUAGAUACCCCAGUAGUC
rnacentral:rRNA from 1 species